CAGCAGCCGCGGUAAUACGGAGGGUGCAAGCGUUAAUCGGAAUUACUGGGCGUAAAGCGCACGCAGGCGGUUUGUUAAGUCAGAUGUGAAAUCCCCGGGCUCAACCUGGGAAUGGCAAUGGAUACUGGCAAGCUAGAGUGUGUCAGAGGAUGGUGGAAUUCCCGGUGUAGCGGUGAAAUGCGUAGAGAUCGGGAGGAACAUCAGUGGCGAAGGCGGCCAUCUGGGACAACACUGACGCUGAGGCACGAAAGCGUGGGGAGCAAACAGGAUUAGAUACCCCGGUAGUCCCUGUCUCUUAUAA
rnacentral:rRNA from 1 species